rnacentral:rRNA from 1 species
UACAGAGGGUGCGAGCGUUGUCCGGAAUCACUGGGCGUAAAGGGCGCGUAGGCGGCGGGGGAAGUCCAUGGUGAAAGCUCGCGGCUCAACUGCGAGUCGGCCACGGAUACUCUUUCGCUCGAGCACUGUAGAGGCAGAUGGAAUUCCUGGUGUAGCGGUGAAAUGCGCAGAUAUCAGGAAGAACACCUAUGGCGAAGGCAGCACUCUGGGACGGUACUGACGCUGAGACGCGAAAGCGUGGGGAGCGAACAGG